GAUGAACGCUGGCGGCGUGCCUAAUACAUGCCAGUCGAGCGAACGGACGAGAAGCUUGCUUCUCUGAUGUUAGCGGCGGACGGGUGAGUAACACGUGGAUAACCUACCUAUAAGACUGGGAUAACUUCGGGAAACCGGAGCUAAUACCGGAUAAUAUUUUGAACCGCAUGGUUCAAAAGUGAAAGACGGUCUUGCUGUCACUUAUAGAUGGAUCCGCGCUGCAUUAGCUAGUUGGUAAGGUAACGGCUUACCAAGGCAACGAUGCAUAGCCGACCUGAGAGGGUGAUCGGCCACACUGGAACUGAGACACGGUCCAGACUCCUACGGGAGGCAGCAGUAGGGAACCUUCCGCAAUGGGCGAAAGCCUGACGGAGCAACGCCGCGUGAGUGAUGAAGGUCUUCGGAUCGUAAAACUCUGUUAUUAGGGAAGAACAUAUGUGUAAGUAACUGUGCACAUCUUGACGGUACCUAAUCAGAAAGCCACGGCUAACUACGUG
rnacentral:rRNA from 1 species